rnacentral:lncRNA from 1 species
CACAGAUGGAACUCAUUACCUGCACUGCCACAUGCUGCUCAAGAGAAAGUUUAAUGAGGGUCAUGGCAUGUGGACCUUUGUUUUCUGACUGCAGCUACAGAAUGAAAGCAAACAAUAUCCACCACACAUCAGAAAUCAAAGAAUUUGAGUGAGGAAUUUAAUGGGCUACAAAGUUGUGGAGACAUCUUUUAGAAUUUCACCUCAAAGAGUGAAGCUUUCAUUCAGUUAUCCCUGACUUGGAGAUCGGUACUAUGCUUGAAGACUCGAGAAAUUUUGAGAUGCCCUGAUUAUGGAACUUCUUGUCUACAAUAAAAAUAAAUACAUAAAUAAUGAAGAGAGGGGUUACUUUGGCAUCAGUGACUUGAUGUACCCUGUAACACAUGGCUGCUUGAUCUGAAACAAACAAACAAACAAAAAAAAGAGUGAACCUUUGAAAAUAAGCCCUCUAUAAUUCCAGUGAAAUAUGCCAGGUUUGUAUACAUCCCAGUACGAC